GAGGGUAUAGCUCAAGUGGUAGAGUGCAUGCCUAGCAGACACAAGGUCCUGGGUUCAAUCCCCAGUACCUCCC
rfam:Camelus ferus unplaced genomic scaffold scaffold2378, whole genome shotgun sequence.